CGAUUUUUUGUUUUCAUGCAGUUUUACUAUAGCCAAUAUUGACUUUGUGGCUGUGCUAUCCAGUGGAAACCUCAGGAACGCCUCACCGGCCAUAUGUCGCGUUAAUGUGCUAGUCGGAAAUUAGAAAACUCUGAAAUGUCCGACUUGCUAAUUGGUUGUAUUUAUACACUGGCCGCGUUCAACGAAUAAUCAAGUCGGACAUUUCCAACUAGGAUGUGAACGCGGCAAUAAACCAGGGUCGCUCGGGGGAGGUCGUACAUGACCGAGACUUUUCGCGGCAUAAUAUCCAAGACUAUCAAUGAUUGGUUGUGGUGGUAUGGCGUAAAGCGUUUUCUGCUGGCGCUGUGGUAUAAAAACCCUUCAGACUACUUGAAUAGUCUCAUUUGUUCAGUCUUCAGGAUCGUUUUUUUGCGGCCGAAGGCCAACAUAAUAUUUCGACGGGACGUUUGUAACUGCAGUAAUGAAGCUCUGUCCCAAAUCAACAUGACUAUCGUUGCAGGAAAUGACAGGCCUGCCAUCUUGCAUUGAGCCAGAAGCUUUGCCAUGUGGUAAGACAUUUCCUGCCUUGUACAUGUCUUUGAGAGCGCAACGCCAGUCAGGGCCUUGACACCGUGGGCCUUAGUGCUGGAGCAGUGCACAUAGCAAUCCAUUUUCUUGCAACCCACUGCUGUGCUCACCAAGCAGCAGUGUUACUAAUGAGACUGGACAUCAAUCUGGAAAUAAAUUAAUCCAAAGUAUUUGCCUUUAAUCCAGUGCCUGUCUUUCAGGGAAGAGUUUGAUAUGAUGAAGCCCGUUUCAAUCCCAAACUCUUCUAGUACGUAGUUGGAGAACCCCUUAAGCUUGAUUUACUUAUGGAAUUAAUGAUUGGCUUAAAUGUUCAACUGCUCUGAAUUGUGAUGGAGUUAUGCCUCUCUGAACAAACCAGAAACUGAAGCUUUGUAAACCAAUGUUCAUACAGUUGCAGUCGGAAGUUUACAUACACCUUAGCCAAUUACAUUUAAACUCAGUUUUUCACAAUUCAUGACAUUUAAUCAGAGUAAAAAAUCCCUGUUUUAGGUCAGUUAGGAUCACCACUUUAUUUUAAGAGUGUGAAAUGUCAGAAUAAUAGUAGAGAAUUAUUUAUUUCAGCUUUUAUUUAUUUCAUCACAUUCCCAGAGGGUUCAGAAGUUUAUAUACACUCAAUUAGUAUUUGGUAGCAUUGCCUUUUAAAUUGUUUAACUUGGCUCAAAUGUUUUGGGUAGCCUUCCACAAGCAUCCCACAAUAAGUUGGGUGAAUUUUGGCCCAUUCCUCCUGACAGAGCUGGUGUAACUGAGUCAGGUUUGUAGGCCUCCUUGCUCGCACACGCUUUUUCAGUUUUGUCCACAGAUGUUCUAUAGGAUUGAGGUCAGGGCUUUGUGAUGGCCACUCCAAUACCUUGACUUUGUUCUUAAGCCAU
rnacentral:lncRNA from 8 species